rnacentral:rRNA from 1 species
UACGACUACAUAUCAGGCAUAUCAAUAAGCGGAGGAAAAGAAACUAACAAGGAUUCCCUUAGUAACGGCGAGUGAAGCGGGAAGAGCUCAAAUUUGAAAUCUUCAAGGUUUUACCUUGACGAAUUGUAGUUUAAAGAAGUGUUUUCUGUUGAAGUUUCGGUAAAAGUUCUUUGGAAUAGGACAUCAUAGAGGGUGAGAAUCCCGUAUUUGACCGUUAUUUUCAGCUGUGUGAUACACUUUCAAAGAGUCGGAUUGUUUGGGAAUGCAGUCCAAAAUGGGUGGUAAAUUUCAUCUAAAGCUAAAUAUUGGCGAGAGACCGAUAGCGAACAAGUACCGUGAGGGAAAGAUGAAAAGAACUUUGAAAAGAGAGUUAAACAGUACGUGAAAUUGUCAAAAGGGAAGCGUUUGACACCAGUGUUGUUUUCUCGAAAAUCAAUUAAAAAUGGCUUGAUUUUGUGUUGUAUUGACCUUAAAAGCUUUCUUCACUUUUUUCAUGUCUUUUUUAAUGCACUUUUCGUUUAACAAGUCAACAUCAGUUUCUUUUGUUGUAAAAAGGUCAUUGGAAGGUGGCUUUCUUUUCGGAGAAAGUGUUUAUAGCCUUUGACUCCUGCAAUCGGAGAGACCUGAGGUCUGCAGCGUAGAUCCUUCUGGAUUAGAUACAUUUGUGCUAAGUUAUAGUUUUUCAUAGACAACAUGUUGACUAUAUUAGUCAUGUAACUUACUCGCUUAUGCUAAUUUUACCUACGCUUAGGAUGUUGAAUCUGUGCGAGACUAC